rnacentral:rRNA from 1 species
UGAGGAACAUGACCUUCGGCGGGGGAUAGCCGGCCCAACGGCCGGGUAAUACCGCGUACGACCUUUCGGGGACAUCCCUGGAUGGUGAAAGCAGCAAUGCGCCGAUGGAGUGCCUCGCGGCCUAUCAGCUAGUUGGUGAGGUAACGGCUCACCAAGGCGACGACGGUUAGCUGGUCUGAGAGGAUGGCCAGCCACAUUGGGACUGAGACACGGCCCAGACUCCUACGGGAGCAG